rnacentral:tRNA from 1 species
GCCCCUGUGACGCAACUGGCGACGUGGCGGGUUUAAGCUCCGCUGUCCGAAAGGGCUUGUAGGUUCGAAUCCUACCAGGGGUA